rnacentral:lncRNA from 1 species
GUUUGUCUUCCUGAAAAGUGAGUGAUGUUAAAAUAUUCUAAAACAUUUAUGAUGAUAUAUGCUCAAAGAAAGAUUAUUCUCUUGUUUUUACUCCUAAUUUAAUAGAUUACAUACAUAUAUAUUUGUAGUUACAAAAAUAUUAUCUAACCGGAGUACAAGACCCAUGUCAAAGGUCUCAAAAUUCAAGAACAUAUCUACAACAUUUGAUCAUAUUAGAUUCUUCAACAUGAAUUAACAUACGUAAAGUGUCAGAUCAAACUGAUCCCUAAACAACACUAAUAAUCGGACCGAGUUGGAGGGAGGUGGUAGACGAUUUGUUCUGGUCCAUCGGGUUGGGCGCAGCAAGAGUAAGUUCUAAAUCAAGAGUAGCGCUUGGAGACGCAUAACAUGUUGGUGACGACGAUGUUUCAUAGGAUUUGAUCAUUGGAUUGAAGUAGCCCUUCUCUUGUUUUAGAGAACCGAAAUCAAUCAAAGAAAGAUUAUUGUCGUUAUGAUCCUCAUCGUAUUCAUCAUCGAAUGAGCUUGUUCGACUCAUAUUACAUUUCAUUAUUUGAUUUUGUAGCCCAUUCUUGUCCCUCACCUUCAAAGAGGCUGGAACGUCGUUUCUUCUUGACAAGACUCGCCUGACGAAGGAAGUACUUUUGAGCAUGACUUGCAACUUGUGUAGGUGUCCUUGUGGUCACAAAGUUUCUUGAAAUUCCUCUCCAAUCACCUUUUCCUAGCUUCUCAAGUCCGGCUAGGAAGCGACGAUGUUCGUCUUCGGACCAAGGGAGACCUAUAAAACCACCCCUCCUAUAUAUUACCAUUGAAAUCUACAUUCUUUUAUCUCUAGAUGUGAAUCUUGAAAUCAAACACAUGCAUGUCAAUCACAAUGCACGUGAUAUAACAUAACAUAGCAUAACAUAACAUAAAUGAAGAGAUAUUUCAUAGUUUUUUUAAUAGACAUGCGUGAUUUAAGUAACUAUUAGUAGAUAUAUAACUAUCUUGCGUACCCUUUUUUCUUUCUUGAGCUCGGGCAAUGAGACCGUCUGAGAGAUAACCAACCGACAUAUUCUUGUCGGUAAGGUCAUUGAUGGAGACCCGCGAGGAAGAUAAAGACGAAGAAGGUGAAACUGAGGCCGGUAAUAGAGAACUAGAUGGCAAACAAUCCAUGCUAAGGCAUUUCUUCAUAACCAUAGAGUGUGGUGAGUCAAGUUGAACUCCAAAUAACCUUAAACCUCCUCCACCACCACCUAUUGUGCUAUUGGCAUUGCCUCUAUUGUAAGUAGUGCAAGUUCUUGAAUUGUGGCCUAUGUUUCCACAGUGUGAGCACUUUCUCCCCAUUUUUUGCUCAAACUUGUAUUGCAAAAACAAAGAAGUAAGAAUGACCCACAAUCAUUCAACCCCUAAAAAGCACACAUAAAGAGAGAAAGAUAGAG